CUACGUGCCAGCAGCCGCGGUAAUACGGAGGAUGCGAGCGUUAUCCGGAUUUAUUGGGUUUAAAGGGUGCGUAGGCGGCCUGUUAAGUCAGCGGUGAAAUCUAGGAGCUUAACUCCUAAAUUGCCAUUGAUACUGGCGGGCUUGAGUGUAGAUGAGGUAGGCGGAAUGCGUGGUGUAGCGGUGGAAUGCCUAGAUAUCACGCAGAACUCCGAUUGCGAAGGCAGCUUACUAAGGUACAACUGACGCUGAAGCACGAAAGCGUGGGUAUCAAACAGGAUUAGAUACCCUGGUAGUCCACGCAGUAAACGGUGAUUACUAGGUGUUGGGGGUCGAACCUCAGCGCCCAAGCUAACGCGAUAAGUAAUCCGCCUGGGGAGUACGUACGCAAGUAUGAAACUCAAAGGAAUUGACGGGGACCCGCACAAGCGGUGGAGCAUGUGGUUUAAUUCGACGCAACGCGAGGAACCUUACCAGCGUUUGACAUC
rnacentral:rRNA from 1 species